rnacentral:rRNA from 1 species
AGAGUUUGAUCCUGGCUCAGAUUGAACGCUGGCGGCAGGCCUAACACAUGCAAGUCGAGCGGAAACGAGUUAUCUGACCCUUCGGGUGACGAUAACGGCGUCGAGCGGCGGACGGGUGAGUAAUGCCUGGGAAAUUGCCCUGAUGUGGGGGAUAACCAUUGGAAACGAUGGCUAAUACCGCAUAAUAGCUUCGGCUCAAAGAGGGGGACCUUCGGGCCUCUCGCGUCAGGAUAUGCCCAGGUGGGAUUAGCUAGUUGGUGAGGUAAGGGCUCACCAAGGCGACGAUCCCUAGCUGGUCUGAGAGGAUGAUCAGCCACACUGGAACUGAGACACGGUCCAGACUCCUACGGGAGGCAGCAGUGGGGAAUAUUGCACAAUGGGCGCAAGCCUGAUGCAGCCAUGCCGCGUGUAUGAAGAAGGCCUUCGGGUUGUAAAGUACUUUCAGCAGUGAGGAAGGUAGUAGUGUUAAUAGCACUAUUAUUUGACGUUAGCUGCAGAAGAAGCACCGGCUAACUCCGUGCCAGCAGCCGCGGUAAU